rnacentral:rRNA from 1 species
GACGAACGCUGGCGGCGUGCUUAACGCAUGCAAGUCGAACGGAAAGGCCCUGCUUGCAGGGUACUCGAGUGGCGAACGGGUGAGUAACACGUGGGUGAUCUGCCCUGCACUUCGGUAUAAGCCUGGGAAACUGGGUCUAAUACCGGAUAGGAGCCAUUUUUAGUGUGAUGGUUGGAAAGUUUUUUCGGUGUAGGAUGAGCUCGCGGCCUAUCAGCUUGUUGGUGGGGUAAUGGCCUACCAAGGCGGCGACGGGUAGCCGGCCUGAGAGGGUGGACGGCCACAUUGGGACUGAGCUACGGCCCAGACUCCUACGGGAGGCAGCAGUGGGGAAUAUUGCACAAUGGGCGCAAGCCUGAUGCAGCGACGCCGCGUGGGGGAUGACGGCCUUCGGGUUGUAAACUCCUUUCGCUAGGGACGAAGCUUUUGUGACGGUACCUAGAUAAGAAGCACCGGCUAACUACGUGCCAGCCGCCGCGGUAA